GGUGAGGUGGCCGAGUUGGUUAUGGCGCCAGGUUAAGGUUACCUUAAUAUCUGAUUCCUGGUGGGGCAACCCGCGCGAGUUCGAGUCUCGUCCUCAUCA